rnacentral:rRNA from 1 species
GUGAAGCGGCAACAGCUCAAAUUUGAAAUCUGGCCCCCCGGCCCGAGUUGUAAUUUGCAGAGGAUGCUUCUGGCGCGGUGCCUUCCAAGUCCCCUGGAACGGGGCGCCAUAGAGGGUGAGAGCCCCGUCCGGUUGGCCGCCAAGCCUGUGUGAAGCUCCUUCGACGAGUCGAGUAGUUUGGGAAUGCUGCUCUAAAUGGGAGGUAGACCCCUUCUAAAGCUAAAUACCGGCCAGAGACCGAUAGCGCACAAGUAGAGUGAUCGAAAGAUGAAAAGCACUUUGAAAAGAGGGUUAAACAGUACGUGAAAUUGUUGAAAGGGAAGCGCUUGUGACCAGACGUGCACCGGGUGUUCAGCGGGCGUUCUCGCCCGUGCAUUCGCCCCGGUGCAGGCCAGCGUCGGUUCGGGCGGGGGGAUAAAGGCGCCAGGAACGUAUCUCCCCCGGGAGUGUUAUAGCCUGGCGCGUCAUGCCCCCGCCUGGACCGAGGUUCGCGCUCCGCAAGGACGCUGGCGUAAUGGUCCCCAGCGGCCCGUCUUGAAACACGGACCAAGGAGUCGAGGUUUUACGCGAGUGUCUGGGUGUCAAACCCGCACGCGUAAUGAAAGUGAACGUAGGUGGGAGCUUCGGCGCACCACCGACCGAUCCUGAUGUUUUCGGAUGGAUUUGAGUAGGAGCGUAGGGCCUCGGACCCGAAAGAUGGUGAACUAUACUUGGAUAGGGUGAAGCCAGAGGAAACUCUGGUGGAGGCUCGCAGC